UACGUAGGGUGCUAGCGUUGUCCGGAAUCAUUGGGCGUAAAGCGCGUGUAGGCGGUUCGGUAAGUCCGCUGUGAAAGUCGGGGGCUCAACCCUCGAAUGCCGGUGGAUACUGUCGGACUAGAGUACGGAAGAGGCGAGUGGAAUUCCUGGUGUAGCGGUGAAAUGCGCAGAUAUCAGGAGGAACACCAAUUGCGAAGGCAGCUCGCUGGGACGUUACUGACGCUGAGACGCGAAAGCGUGGGGAGCAAACAGG
rnacentral:rRNA from 1 species